AAUGGGGGCAACCCUGAUCCAGCCAUGCCGCGUGAGUGAAGAAGGCCCUAGGGUCGUAAAGCUCUUUCGCCUGUGAUGAUAAUGACAGUAGCAGGUAAAGAAACCCCGGCUAACUCCGUGCCAGCAGCCGCGGUAAUACGGAGGGGGUUAGCGUUGUUCGGAAUUACUGGGCGUAAAGCGCGCGUAGGCGGAUUGGAAAGUUGGGGGUGAAAUCCCGGGGCUCAACCCCGGAACUGCCUUCAAAACUCCCAGUCUAGAGUUCGAGAGAGGUGAGUGGAAUUCCGAGUGUAGAGGUGAAAUUCGUAGAUAUUCGGAAGAACACCAGUGGCGAAGGCGGCUCACUGGCUCGAUACUGACGCUGAGGUGCGAAAGUGUGGGGAGCAAAUAGGAUU
rnacentral:rRNA from 1 species